GACGAACCGUGCGAACGUUGUUCGGAUUCACUGGGCUUAAAGGGCGCGUAGGCGGCUUGCCAAGUCAGGGGUGAAAUCUUUCGGCUUAACCGGAAAAGUGCUUCUGAUACUGGCGAGCUGGAGGGAGGUAGGGGCGGACGGAACUUCCGGUGGAGCGGUGAAAUGCGUAGAUAUCGGAAGGAACGCCGGUGGCGAAAGCGGUCCGCUGGAUCUCUUCUGACGCUGAGGCGCGAAAGCCAGGGGAGCAAACGGG
rnacentral:rRNA from 1 species